AGACUAUGAAGCCAUAAAGCCAGAAGAAAACCUGAGAAGCCAUCUGCCCCAGCCAGAAAUUUAAAUUUCUUAAGAAGAUCAGCACCUACAAAAGAGUCACAGAGGUACAAGAGGAGUCCACUGAAAAACACCCCUUCACAGUUGACAUUGCUGGAGUGGGGUCUGGAGCUGAUGUAGCAUAUGGCCACCUGGAAUGAUCAAGCAGAAGGAGCAUGGGCAUUUCAGAAGCAAAAUGUCUGCACUUUACCUGAAUGCCAAUCAACAGCUAACACAGGACUCUUGAAGUUCCGGAUGGCUUUGGGGAAGAGUUUGUAUGAGGCGUGCUGAAGGAACUUCUCCAGAAGGAACUGCGCAGGGGCUGCCAGUAAUGUGUGUUCACUGUCGGGAGCACAGACAUACUGAAGGGGCAGGAUGGGUGCUAAGCUCUCUGACACCUGAAACGAGAGCCGAGAUUAUCAUGGAAAAUGUGUUUGUCAGUGGAUGAAAUAGGCAAGGAAACUGCAUUGCAUUCUAGCAGUCCCCAAAUAAUAGUACAACAGUGACAAGUGCUAGGCUCAAAUGUAAGUCUGUCCUUGGGUUCUGAAAAUGUUUUUCACUUACUACAGAACAGUACUGUCGUAUCUAACAAUUUACCCACAGCAAGAACAGGAGACAAUGGAAAAGCAGGCUUCUUUGAAAGUUACUGCAUUUAGCAAGUACAUUGUGAGGACCAAUAGGAAGCCUAUUAUAGUGCUCUGGAUGUGGAUGGGAUUUAUCACAACUGAGAGAGAAAAAAAGCAAAGGUUUCUAAGCUUACUGGGGAUCCAUGUUAUAAAUGAUCAGAUACCAGUAUCUCUUAAACAGAAAAGGAUAGCCCAUGGAAUUUGCAGCCUUAACAGGUUUUGAUCUGUUACUUUUUCUGUUUUUAAUCAUUUUUAUUUUUCAAUUACAGUUGAAAUAGAUUAGUUUCAGGUAUACACCCCAGUGAUUAGACAUUAUAUAACUUAUUAAGUGAUCAUCCCAAUACAUCUUGUUACCCAUAUGACACCAUACAGUUAUUAGAAUAUUAUUGACUAUAUUUCCUAUGCUGUGCUUUACACUCCCAUGACUAUUCUGUAACAACCAAUUUGUACUUAGUCUGUUCACUUUUUUCACCCAACCCCCAACUCCCUCCCAUCUGAUGACCUUCAAAAUAUACUCUGCAUCUAAGUCUG